UCUGUUCAAAAAUAGUGGAAACCGGAGAUAUAAAAGAUGUCAGUUGUUUUGACAGAGGUCUUUGACAAGGGAGUUGGGGAGGACUUGGGUAGGCUGGGUCCUGCUGUAGGAAAGUUCUUGUGUAAUGUGGGUAGGUAGCUUAAUUAAGACCAGGUCUUGCUGACAAGAUAUUCCUUGUGAAGCAGAAAGGUGCAACUGUUAAAGGCAAUUCAACUCUAGAGUGAGUUAUGUUGCGCAGAGAAUGGAAUUGGUUCCAUAUAAUACAGCUGAAUAUGUAGCAUUGAUGAAAACUUAGAAUUAAGUUUAUGUAAGUGCAUGUUUAGUGACCAUAUAAAUGUGAACUUACGUUCUUUGCAGUGGGAGUAAUGGAAACUCUGUGAAUAUUUACUGUUGAACUAUGGAAAAGUGCAGUUAUUGGACAAAAUUCAUUUUAUUACAUAUCGGUUCUAACAGCCUUACUUUUAACCUGAAGUGUUACUGUAAACAGAAAUGUGGGACUUGAUUUGAGAGGUGCAUAAAUUUCAGUUCACCAGUAGCUAAAUGGCACCAUUUUCUUCUGAAUUUUGCUUUUUAAAUUUUUCAGUCUAGCCCUGAAUAAACAUUCUGACAAUUUUAUCAUGUUAAAUUGUUUAAAGCAGAAAGAUUUUACAAACCUUGUAUCUAAGGUUUGCUAAAAAUCUUCAUGUGACCCUGCUUUGUGCCUACUAACACAAUCUUGUGUGUGUUGUCUUGUUGUAAAGAAAAUCCAAAAUAAAAUUAGGAUGAUGAAUUAAUGAUAUACACAAGUAAUGUUCUUGGUAAUCAGGCUCUAAGGCUGUCUGCUAGCCUAUUUUGUAGCUUAUUUGUGCUGUCCUAGCAUAGUAAUUAGUAUCAGUUAAUUUUGAAAGAUUUUUCUCCUAAGAAGAUGGCUUCAGAAUUUGAUUUGCAUAUGAUUUAUUGAUGUAUUUAUAUCUUUUUGAUAUGCUUCAAUUGGACAUGACAGUUUUUAUUUUUUCGUUUAUUUUUAAGAAGUCAGAGAAUUCAUGCUCCCAACGCAGACCUUCCCAACUGCACAGAACAACUUUUUUACCAUGCAUCUGUUUAACUUAUUUCAAAGCAAGUAUUUUUAGUAAAAAUUACAGUCCAAACAAGAAAGCACUUUGUGAAUAAAUACAACAAUCUGGCAGGAAGAUUAGAAAUUGUCUGUGUUUCAUUUGGCCAAAUUUGUAAAGAUGCCAGGAGCAGGCAGACAGUUUUAGAUGGCAAAGUGUAUAUUUGGUUUCUGAGGUUAGUCCUGAAUUAGCACACAGUACUGUAUUGUCGUCACAGCUGUGGCUGUCAAGGUUAGGAAGAGGUGUGAUCCCUCAAUAGCACAGCUGACCUGGCGAGAGACCUUAAUGCAGCUAUUCUAGGAGAAGAAAUAAGCCCCUGUGCCUCUGCUGGUAUGACUCUUGGUUGGAGAAAGACAGAGGUUGCCUUGGCUGCAGUGCUAUAAAACUCAGCUUCACUGCUGCAGCUGCAUUAGAAGUACUUGAAAAAUUUUUUAUAUGUCAUACAAGUAUUCAUACAGUAUCCCUGUGUGUUGGUAAUUUGAGGUAGGUUUGCCUUUGUUCCGUAGACCGUGCUUGCUCAUACAGGCCUAGGCCUUUCUUAAAGGAGUUACAGCUCUUCCCAUGGUAGCAUAAGGCCCUGUGACUGUGGUAAGUCAUGCCUUUUAGGUAUGAAUGGCAAGGGAGUGAGUUGGAGGGAAGGGAUUCUUGGGGAGGAAAAACAUAAAGAAUUCAUUGACUGGCAUUUGCCACAGUUCUAGAAUAUGAUUUUAAUAUUAUAAGAUAGAAAGAUGCCUUGUCUGUGGAAGGAGGUUCAGCUGGAGAGCAUCACUGGCUUGGAGUUGCAGGCUCCUGUUUUGGAAGCCCCUCAGGGAUACCCAGUUGGGGGAUGUAACCAAAAUACUUCUUAGAUAAAAGCAAAGUAAAAUUUCUUCUUUGUUAAAUAGUGAGUAAAAGUCACUGAUAUUUCUUUCAUUUGUUCUUAAGUUAAAGACUGGGGAUUUGUUUUGCUUUCAAAACCAGGAGAUGCCAUUUUUUUCAGCAGGAGCAAGAGAAGGCUUUAGAAGACGGUGUUGGUGGCUGCAUGUAAUUCUGAUGGAAUGUAUAUUAUAGUCAGCAGAUUUCAGAUCCUUUUAGUGAACAAUGAUUUGAGUAAAAUUUUGAUUCUUCCUAGCAAUUUUUACUGGGAAAAAAACCCCAAAAGUUUCUGGAAUUGCAGAGCAAGUAAAACAAAAGUAAUUUCUUUUGGGACUCAGCUGUUUGAGUGUCAGUGGUAUAACAUGAAACACUGUUUUUUUCCUGUUGAUAAAACCAUAGCAAUUAUUUUAUUAGCAAAGGUGGCACAAAUGUUAUACUGUGCUGUGAGUCAAACUGCAGCUUUGAGCAGAUACAGUGAUCCUCACUGAUGCGUGCUAUAUAUAUGUAAUUGUUCUUGAAAUCUGUGGGACAGAUGUAUUUAGUAAAGGAUUUACUUAAUGAAAGUAGUACUGAGUUGUGUGACAAAACUAAGUCUUUCAUUAGUGGCAGUGCAGACACUGUGUUUAGUGUUAACUUCUCUUGACCUGUGAUACCAAAUCGUUCUGGUAUGUGUAGUGACCUUUUUCCAAGGGGAAAAGGUUGUGUUAAGUUCUGCCUAUUUGAAGAGAAUUUUGUGUGGUGACAUGGUGAAAGAACAAUCAUGUUCUUCCACAGUCAGGUUAAGUUGGGGUUUGGUUUGGAAUGUAAGAGUAAACAAGUAAUCCAGAAUAUGUUAAUACAAUAUUGUGGUACAGGUGUAAACAAAAGAUGUCUGUCUUUUUGCUGGACUUCUUUUGACUUAGCUCCAAGACUAGUAGAAUCUUGUGAAAAUGCCUUCAUCUAUUCCAGUUUCAGUUUGCUUUAAGAAAUAACUACUGCUAUUUCCAAGGUACAGAACAGAAGCUCGUAAGUUAAUUUUUAAAUAUUUCUUCCUGAAAGGGAUACAUCUAAUGCAUUCCAGUUUCCUUGGUCAAUUUGGAAUGCAAUGUGUUAAUUGGGGAAUAUGUGAGCUAUUUUCUGUGUGUGUGCUCUAAUACACUGUCCUUGACCUUGAAUCAUUUCUCUGGAAACUCUGAAAAAAAAGAUUGAGCUAAAGAAGUAAAAUAGCUGUCUUUCAAGACCACUGAAGUUGAGAAAGCUUUGUAAAUCAUCUCCUGCCUUUAAUUCAGGCUUUCUAAAAUAUAGCUAAUCUGUAUUUCAAGAGAAUGUAAGUAUUUAAGAGUGAUUUCAAGAUAUGAAAAUAAAGCUUGUGUAUACUAUCUUAUGUAAUUGUGAAUGAUAGGAUAAAUGUAAUUGGACAAUGUUAAUACUGCUUCAGAAUUGAUUAAUUUUUUAAGGAAAAUAAUUGCUAAUCACUUACUGUCGCAAUUUUGACAACAAGAAAUCUUUUAUGCAGGAGUGUUGUAUUUGGUUCAUGUAACAAAAUUUUCCAUUGUUUGUUUUAGGUCAAUUUUCAUGUUUCUUGUGUUCCAUUUUCCCCUUAAUUUCAAGACUUUCCUCACUUCCAAGAAAACAAUUUUCAUUUUCAAAGCUUCCAUUCCUUUUAGAAAGUUUUUCCAUCUUUGCAUAUGAUCUGAUGUUUUGGUAUGUACCAAUGUUUGAGUUUGAGCCGCUUGUCAUGCCAGCAGCUGAUGCCUGCAUUUGCUCUCUCUCCCUGUAUGCUAACUUUCAGAGGUGAACUAUGAUUAAAACUCAAAAUCUGUGCGUGAGGGUAGGCUGGGGCUGUUGGGAUGGAGAACAUCAGACAAACUGGUUUCCCUAAAAAUCAUUAGCUAGUUGCUGCAUUUUGCUGUAUCAUUUGCUUUUAUAAAUGUCCCUGUUAAAAUAAAACCAUUACUUAAGCCUCUGGUCAAGUUCUAAUUAAAAAAAUUCAAGUGAAAAAAUAUCCUAAACUGUCACAUGCAGUUCUUAGUGUUGAAGGAUGAACUAUAGUAGAUGGCCUACUCUAAGAUAAGUCUUCAUGGGUUCAAUUUAAGUUUCACCUGCUAUCUAGGUAAUUAGUGAUGUCAAGAUAAAGUGUGACAUUUUGUAGUAGUGUAAAUAUGAAUGCAAAGUUACAGUAGUAUAGGAAAGCAGCUGACAUUUCUUAACUUGCUUUCCGUUUAGCUUAUUUUCUGCCGGGGUUAGGUAGGAGAAUUUACUGUAUCUUUAAAAAAACCCAGAAGCCAAAUCAAAAAAAGGACCACACUAUUUUAACUGACAAAAGCUAUCCUAUUUUAUGAAUAUGCUGUCUGUGACAUGAACUAAUUGGAAAUCUUAAAAAGCUUUCAUGUGCAGCAUGGAUACAGAUUUAAUGUGAAUUCUGAUUGCCUGGAAUGCAGUCAGCCUGACAGCACGUGAAUACUUGAGUGCUGUCCAACAACUGCACUUGUUCUGAGAGAUCUGUCUCCUUGAACUUCCAGUUUUUCCUCUUGGUUUACUGUCCAAGACGACAUAUGUAAAAUGUUCUCAGCUGGGUAUGUAUGCAACCCUUGAUGUGGCUUCAUAACCUUCUGUGACCUGGAUCACUAGCGAUGUUGGCUGGUGCUGUACACUGGUUUGCAUUCUCCUUCCAGCUACAUGACAAUUACCAUGAUUUAUGUGAUGGCCUUGCGGCACAUUACUGUACUGUUCUCUGAAGCAGCAACAUGCAUCCAGUCUUUGUUGCCUUGGCCCUGCUGUGGAGGGCUGGAAAGUCUGGAAAAGCUGAGAUAUAAAUCACUAUCUUAAAAUAGUUGUUUUCUGACUGAAUUCUGUGCAAGUGUGCAAACAGACUGGAGGAUUUGAGCCUUCUAAUAGUAACUACAGUGUAGAGAAUUCUUCUGUGGUUAAGUCAGAACUGAUAAAAGGCCUGCUAUAAGAGCUGAGUGGGCAUACAAAAGACUUCUCUGAUGUGACACAAUUCAGUAUAGACUAAAGAGUCUCUUAAUGUUUAGGAGGAUUUUUACCAACACUUUAUUAAAUACUUCUGAAAAGUGAAAACCAAAUUGUCAAAGAGGGCAGAUUUCAGCAGCGUUUAAAGUGUAUUUUGAAGUAAUUGUGAUGCACACUAUAACAUGCUUUAGAUAGGAGAGUGUGAUUUUUUAAUUUGUCGCUUUAAAGUUUAUUUAUUUAUUUACCAUUUUUUUCAAUCUAAGCCUCCAUUCCUCUUUACAAGUGAAUGUAUUUGACAGUCUUGAAAUACCUGAAGUUCUGCUUUGGAAAUGCAAGGGCAAUGGCUGAAAAAGUUUGACGCUAAUUGGAAGUAUGCAGUAAAACCUGUCAGUAAGUUUAAAAUUGCACUAGUAGAGCUAGCCGAUCAGAUAAAUAGGAAGCUCAUUUACUGAAUUAAUGUUCCAAAAAUUCAGGUGAUUUACCUUUUUUCUUAGUUUAUUUAACAAUCCACCUGUUUACAUAAGUCAUCUUUCAUUGUUAGUUGGUGUCAGACCUUUAAUACAUUUUGGGAUCAUUGGAAAAAUAACAGGGGAAAUGGCAUAGUAAGAUAUUUCACAGAAGUACAUGUUAAUAUAUAUUUUUGUGUUUUUUUUCUUUAUUUUUUCACAAAAGUUAUUUGCAUUCAAAGGAUUGUUUUAAAGGCCUGAAAAAUCAACUGUUGUGUAACUGUAUGACUUCGAAGAAAUUAGACACUUUUUUGUAUGUGUGCCAAGUUUAACUGCUAGCUGGCUACUGACAGCCGAUAGUAAUGCAGUGACACUGCAGGAACUAUGCAGGAAUUGUGCAGCUGUCUACAAUGUUUAAUUUACACUGACUAAUGGAAUAAAAAACAUUAGACCAUCAAGGCAUUUAAAACUGGAUAAACACUUAUAGGAUGUGACACAAAUAUACAGCCGGUAACAGAGUAGAGGAUCAAAUCUGCAUAUAUUCUAAUUAUUUAGUGUUUUUAAGCUUGUGUUAAAAGCUUAGCUUUGUGUUAAAGGCUUCAGCAGUGGCUCUCAGAUUUAUUUCUGUAUGCUUAGGGUUUGACUCUUCUUUUAUGACCUGCCUUCUUUUUGCAUAGCAAUGUUCCUUUAUAUGUGCAAGGCCUAGUGGCAGCACAAACUUUUUAAACUCAUUGCUUCUAGCUUACUCUUGUCAAAAGUGGCUUCUGAGCUUUAUUAUUAGUUUUUUAUUUCUACAUUCAACUUCGAUAUUUUGACUAGGCUGAAGUGCAUGGAGCACUGGUCCAUAUUCAGUGAUUAAUGAUGGGAUUAAUAGUAUGUUUGUCAGUAGUAUAAAUAAAUACAGGUAGUGUGGUCUUUAGAGUUUCAUAAGCUUACUUGUUGGUCCUUUCUAUCACUUAUGUGAAGCUGUGACUAUGAAAGGAUAGCAAAUAAAAUCUGUGUUAAGAAUUCUUUACCAAAUGCACUUACAGAUAAUCAUCUAGGAUAUUCUGGAAAAUGUGAGGAAAUCAGUUGAGUGGAGAACUGUACUGUAAGCUGUUGGUUGCUUCCGCACCAGUUCCAUCAGACUUUGCUCUCCUAUUGGUGGAAUACAAUGCAGUGUUUUGGGAGGAUGGAAAAUAGUCUUAGUAAAACACUCAUUUGCAUAUUUACAAAGCUGGUCUUAGUGACCAUGCUUGCUGGAUUAAACGUGGUUUGUUCUUCUUUAGGACAAUUCUGCAGAGUCUGCUGAUUUUAAAAGUUCAAGAAUAGGGAAAAAUCAAUAGCUUAAAUGAAUUGUGUAAUAUAAUGUGUAAAGAAGAAAAAGAACUGGAACACUUUUAUUCUGAAGUACGUUUAUUACCACUGACAGCUGGGACAACUGGCUGUGCUGCUGCUGUGGUACAUGCAAAAUGAGUCUCAGUUCUUCCACUGAUUUAGAUCGUAAACUGAAACCUUGCAAACUGUGUAUGGUUAGUGUCCUGGGGAUAAAGUAUCAAGUAUAUUAUAUUCUGUUUCUGGAUUUAGUGUAGCUAUAUUAUACAGAAGCCCAAAACUUCAACUUUGCUUCCUCCACAGCAGGAGGAUGACAUAAAAUGCACAGCUGUUUUUUUAUCUUUUUGUAUUGCAAGCCAUGAUAUGUGAGAGCACAAUCAUGCAGCUUUCCUGGUCAAAUAUGAAUGCAUGAAUUAAUAGAGGUGAAUUCAGCUCAAUGUGCUAAUGCAUGAAUGGCAGGCAGUGACUAAGACUGGGACAUGGUGUAACAGAUGCUGUGACAGUCUGAUGGGAUAAGGAAGCUGAGAAUAAAUUUAUUAGUCAUAUGUAUAAAUUUUAGAAGCAGGGUACCACUUAGUUUUACUGACAGUUUUGAGUGAUCAGUUUUUAAAUUGUCAUGUAUCCUGGCAGUAGUUUACCGGUUUGAUUUCUAGGUAAUUUUCUAGAUGAUAAAUGUGGCUGUUUGGUAUUAGGGAGCAAAGAGGAGUUUAGGAGCAAACAAGAGUUUGUCUUACUGAAUAAUAUAUGCUUAAUGAGAAGAAAGACGGUAAAAUGCUGAGUAAAAUGCUUUAUAGAUGAGAUGCCAAGAAGAUAAGUGGGGAAGUGGUAUUUCCUAGGGUAAGAUAGAGGUCAAAGACCUCAGUAGAUGCCUGAUGAGGUAUAUUUAAGGAGGAUGUAGUCUGAAUGACUGUCCCCCCUAUACGCUCUACUUUUAAUGGGCAUUAUCAAAAGCAUGGAAGCUGAUAGACUUUUUCCUACAAAAAGAAACACAGCAUUCAAGAUGGGAAAUAGGUUAGCGAACAGUAACUUAGCUCUUCUAUAGCUUUUGAUACUGUUAAAUAAUUUUAAGUUAGGAAAUGGGUGUCCUCUCACUUUUUCAACCUUUUGUUCCAGUUUGUUUUAUAAAUAAGAGAUAUCUGAUGCACAAAGGUAAUGCUUCCAUUUUUCAGAUAAUGGUGACCUGUGUAUUUGAAGGGUGUUUGUCAGAUUUUACUUUAGCAGAAGGUAUUUAUGUUAAAAUAUGAUGAAAGCCUGACUGAUGGUAUAACAAAACCAGUGACUUCAUCUUGUACAACUGUUUGAAAGAGAUUUUUUCAUAGCAUUAAAUUUUCAUUGAUAAAAUAGUAACUGAAUUUAUUUCACUAUAAGUUUUUUACAAAUUGUAAUUUAAUUCUCCUGAACAGACAUUAAAUGGCUUAGUUUUAAAGCACUGUAUAUUGUAAGAAGGACUUGGUUUCUUAUUUUGGCCCCCUCCCCCCAGUAGUGAAUAUUUAUGGCACCCAGACUUGUGAACAACAGAUUUUUUUUUUCCCCAGAACUUAUAUAUUGUCCUGACCUGGGAUGGGGAGUGCAGACAAGAAUCUGAUGAAGAGUGAUACACAACUUCAUUGGACAGUUCUUCAGACAAAAGUAGGAAGGGGAAAGAGGAAGACAACUGUCAGAGUUGCUGCAGUGGUGAUCAGAAGGACUAGGGAAGUUUUUCCUGCUGAUAAGAGGCCAUAUGGAAGACAAACUUAAACACUGGUAGGGGGUAUAAGUGGUAAAGACCAAAAAUGUAGGACAGAUGUGAGCAUUGUAAUCUCAGUACUGAAGAGAUACAAAGUCUUGUUGUACUUAAAAGGAAGGACUUGUGUCUGUCCAGCAGGACAAGGAAGGGUGCUGCUGUUGUCAGAAAGCUGAAUAUUCCUAGUAUGUAGAAAACACUUAAGAGAGCAAGAUGUCAGUAAGAUCAAAGUUGCUCCUUUCUGAUACUCAAAGUGUGAAAUGAUAGCUACUGAAAUGUUAGAAUGGAUGAGUGGAAAUACAUGUGAAUCAUGGGCUUGUGCUUCAGUUAAUCAUGCCUGUUAUAUCUAUCUUCCCCUCCCUCAUUGAAUAACAAAAGGAGGUAGAGAUCAAGUGCUGAGAAACACUUAAAAAAAAUUCUGCGAAAGCAGAGGAAGAUGACUGAGCAAUGAGACACUAAGCUGUGAUUUUAGGAAGUAAAAUGAGAAGCACAAAAAUCUAUGGAAGUCUGAAGUUCUGGAGGGGAAUCAACAUCUUCUGGGAAGUGCUGAAAGAUACAUGAACCUGAAUCCAGAAGACGUUGCCACUGGGGACCAUGGUGAGAACCAUCCCAGUGUGAUACACUGCGCUGGAACCAGCAAGGGCCCAAUGGCAGAACCACAUUCCAGGCAAGGGCCUUGGUGUACUCAGUGACUUCGUUGUGGGAGUGAGAGGGUGAUGUGGGACAAGAUGGUGGUGUGAUAUAAUGAAAGCACCUCAGGCAAUAGUUAAUGGGUGAGUGAGGUGGGAGAAUCAGCAGCAUUAGAGUGCAAGGAGUGUCUGUGUAUUAGCCUGGCACAUGUAGCUUGAUUGGUAGGCAUGGGGAGCUUUUGUAUAGCUAUGCUUUGCUCCAGGAGCCUAGGAGGUAUAGCAUGUCCUGCAGCCUUGGUAAGGCACAAAGUCUCGUGAGCCUGGGGUUUGGGGUGUGUGAUGUUUGUACAUGACAAAGUCAAGAGGAGAUCCACUUGUAUUGUGGUUGAUGCUGGUUUGAAGUAUCAGAAGCAGAGUGGGGAUGCUCUGUUUGUACUGUGGGCUGGAGGUGGGACUGCUGCAGAAGUAGACUGCAAUUUAAUCUUCAUCAGUAGCUGGGUACAAAUAAUGUGAGUCAGCAGCAGCAUUUUUAAUGCAGGCUGGAGAGACCUUUGACGGGCUUGUUCUCUGCAGUGCGCACUGCCCUCACACCAUAUUCUCUGCAUUGACCAGCUCCUCAUGCACUAGUAAAAGCAGCUUUGGUCAGCUGCUUUCUGUCAGGAAUGGGUAUAUAUGCAAGCAGGGGGCUCUUGAAAUGUUUGUGUGCUGUAGGUGUGGAACAGUGGUGUCCAGUGUGCUGCUGACGGCAUGUAGGCCCUGAUAUGGUACAGUAACACAGGGUCCCCACUGGCUUGAGAGAUACAUGUCAGCUGUUUGGAGGGUCUUGUACCAGCUUGCAAAACCUGUGUAAGUGUGGUGUGCUGUACAAGGCCCAUGAUCCGUAGUUUCUGAUAUUUGUAAAUAUGGAUUUCAGGCACAUCUUCAGGCCUGGUAUCUGUCUUCUUCUUAAGGCUGGUAACCUUAGAUUGCCUGACAAAGAUUCUAAGUGACAAAGGCCUUAAACUCUGCAAGAAGUUGUAACUACAUUUCCAGUUGCUCCUUUUCUUAGGUCUGAGGCGCGUUACUGGUUGACCAAGCUUGCUGCCCUAAGAAAAGCUGCUGAUACGGAAGCACAGAAGUACAGUGUGUCUGUGAGCAUGGGAAUUCUCCAAGAGCCUGUUCCAGCAGGCUUGCAAUCUCUUGUCACUCAGUGAACUCCUCCAAGGACAGACUACAAAACAGGCCUAUCAAAAUAAUUCUUUUCCAUGGUGAAAUACUUGUCAUGAGUAUGGUAAAUAAAAGAACUGACUCAUUUGUUGAGCCAUGGCUCAUUUACUUCUCUGUGCCUCAUUGUGUAACUCUGAACAGAAAAUGCACAUUGCUGUGCUUAUAAACUUGUAUUUUGGAAAGGUUUUCUGUGAUUGCCAUUUGCGAACUUCAUUGUGAAGACCGCUAUGUUAUUCACCCUGAAGUUACGUGAUUGCUUUAGCUGGGCUUAAAUGCAGGCUGCUGUCAAAGGAACACUGCAGUUCUCAGGCUUUCAGCUUGUGCCAGGGAGCUGCAUGGUGAGCCAGAUGACUGGCCUGCUUACAAAUUCAGAUCUUGCUUGGUGGGUUUUACCUGGUUUGUUGGCCAAGAAAAUGCUACUCUUGAGUAAGGGAGAGAAAAUUGCAAGAGGGGGCACUGAGAAUGGCAGGGCUCCUUUCUGUCUGUCACACUUAGACUGGCCUAAAGUGGACAUGAAGCCCUAAGUGCUGCCUGGGGAAAGGAGGUAGGUAUCUGCUGUGCUUGGGAGUUCACCUAUGGCAAGAGGCAACAUUUUUAUUUCAGAGUCAUGAGGACAGGCCUUUCCUGAGCUUGAGCUCUGUGUUAGGCAUAUAUGAGUGAGCUAUUUUCCAUAUCACUUCAUCCACAGUGUUGUUUUUUGUUUGUUUGGUUUUGGUUUUUUUGUUUGUUUGUUUUGUGGCACAAAAUCUUGGCUAAAUGGCGAGUACCUCUCCCACACUUCAUCAGUGGUUAAAAGAAAGCCAGACAAAUGAUUACUUCAAGAAGGAAAGGGGAAGGAAAUAACUAACCAUUUAAUCCAACUGUGCAAAUUCAUAUCUGUCUUUAUUUGCAUAGCUGUGGAAAAAGGUAUUUUUUGCCUUCAAAGGUCAUACAUUUCCUCUUCUUUUGUGGCAGUGCUGAACUUCAGCAUACUUACAAUAUAGAUUUUAGAAGUAAUUUUUCUUAUUAUUAUGCUGUUUUUUGGUGUCCAAAUCAUGUGUUUUGUGUUUAUUUUCAUCAUAGCUGUUGACCUGUUUAUUUUUAUCAUAUCUGUUGCAAAGUAAGUGUUCACAGCUUUUUGUGUGACUAGACCUGCUGAGCCAACAUAACUAAGAAUGAGAAGUCUCUUCUUUGCUUCUUGAUCUACUGCCGCUCAAGAAUCACUGGAGGUUGAAGGAUUGUAGUGGUGUAGCAGAGACUUCAGGUGUCUGACAUGGUCUAUUUUUUUUUACUGGUAAUAAUGCUUGAGAAAGGACUGAUGAAAUACAGUGUGGAGAUUUCAAGCUGAGUUUGUAGGCCGGGCUUGUAGAUGAGAAAAAGCCUUACUGCUUGUAAAAUAAGUAUUUUUGAUAUGGAUUUACUGAGAGUCUGAAACAGCUUUGUGGUGUUCCAGUGUCAUUACUGCUUGCCCAAGUAGAACAGUAAUAGAGCAGAAUGGUGCUUUUGUAUAACUUCUGUAGUGUGGAAGCUAAAUGACAGCUGCUUUGGUAAGUGAGGUGUGUUUACUGAAAUGAUCUGUUUUCAGGACUCAAAGUCAAUGUGUGAUCUAUUCCAGAUGGAAUUAACUAAUGCAGAGCUUCAUUUGCCCGUAACUGGUGGAGAGAAGAAGUGCAUGAAAGCCUUGUUGCAUACUUCACAGUGCAGAUGAGGACAUUUUUAGGGCAGAAAUGGCUUCCUUUACCAUAAAAAGAGAUUUUUUUGUGGUACUUGCCUGUCGGGGAGAGAGUGCUUUGGCUUUCUCAACUGCUUGCAUGGUGGGAGAUCAAAGUUUAUUACUGGCUUGCUUUUAGCAGUAGCCUGCCUUAGUGAAGAAGUAUUCAUCUGGGUUGCUCACUUCUAGAGGCUUCCUACAGUUCUGACUAGGCAGUUGUUGGCUGUGAGACUGUUACAGGCAUUUAUGAGCAGGACACAGGGUCCUUAAGUUAUGAAAUGCUUAAGCAGGGUUCUUUACCUCUCUAGAUUGUCUCCUGGAAGAAGGGAGCCUGCAUAACCUCCAACCCUAACUGAAGUGUCUAGAUCCUUCCAAAUCUCUGCAGAUGGUAUUUGUUGUGCAUGCUUGUCUAGGCUCCCAAGUUAAACAUUUCUUAUUUGAGGAAAGGGAAGUUAUGUAGUACGGUAUCUUUCCUGCUCUAUAGCUCCACUGCUAAUUGUAUAAAAUUGGAUGUGUAGUUUCUGUCAUGACUUAUUUUAGGCCAUUCAGAGAUAUUUAAUGUGGUACUUUGGAAGCUGACUAUGACUUCUGCAAGCCAGGUUUGUUAAAGAAGUACCAGUUUGAGCUCUUGUCUGCUUAGGAGAAUGGAAAGCACCCAGGUGUAUCAGUCUUUUAGUUUUUGUACCAAUUGCUGUGGUUUCAAGGUCAUCUUGUUUUUGACUCCUCCAUCUCUAUUCCUACUUCUGCUUUGCUAUUUUGAAGACAAGUACAAUCAGGGGAAAUUGGCUGUUCAGAACAGGUUUUUGAGCUAUACACAGUGCUGUUGCUCACGUGAAACUAACAAAUAGGAGAAAGAACAAUCCCCAUGGGUAAUGCAGGAGGAUUUUUAAACACAGUCAAAUACAACAAAAGCAUUCCAUUUUGAAGCUUGGGUAAGUUAUAUUCAAGCACAAUCCCAGUAAGGAAGGGACCUGGGUGAAGGAAGAGGAGAGGAGCAGAGCUUAUAGACAUCCUGUAUCUUCAUGAAAUUCUGAAGUUACUUCCUGUACUUUAAUUUCUAUAUUUGCACAAAUCCAAGAUUGUAAUUUUAAUUAAUGUAAUUCUAGAAAAAGUAUUUUGUUCAUUUUACUCAUAAUUUGGUAUAUUUUAUCUUUAAUCUGGGGAAAACUUUUUUUUGCAUUUGUUUUACUGGAAACUCAAAACAGGAUUAUAAAUCUGCAAUUUUUAUGUGCUGCAGUUGAGUGAGUCUCUAUAAUACUACUAAAUGUAAAACUUACUUGGAUUGGGGUUUCUUGAUGGAACAGGUCCAAGUAAAUGGUCUCAUUGCAGCUCUUGGGUUGAUUGAAAAAGAGUCUACCACUAAAUCCCAUGAAUUUAAGUCUUUGCAUACAGAUUUGCUUGCAAGUUCAGAAUUUUGUGGAACUGGUUCAGGAAUCUUGACUCUGCACUUGCCAUCCUUGCCAAAGUCCUCCAGAAGCAUUAUGUAAAUAAUCUCACACCAGCUGUAGGUGAGAAUGCUGCCUGUGGGUGCAUGGCCAGAAGCUGCUGUGUUUCAGCUAGCUGCUCACUGUAGUUUCCUCUCUUCAGACCUUUAUCUUUCACCUUUCUGAAAGACACCUGACCACUUCCUACCAAGGACUAAAGUUCUGUUGGGUGGCUAUCCACAGGGCAAUUUCCAUGGAAUGGUGAAUGUGCCAUCAGCUGUGCUUGUGCAUAGUUUCUUCUGUUGCCGCAGUAGGUGUGAAGUUAUGCAAGAUUGUUUGACCUAGUAGAGAAGUUUAAGACAACUCUUGGAUUUAAGAUUUGAACAUAUGAGCAGGGGCUCCUGCUGGUUUCAGAUUACUACCAUUUCUAAAACUGUUACUGUAAUUUUGUCACCUUAGGUGAUGUUUGAAUUCAGGCUAAAGUUACUGUGGUUAUGUUGUGCAGAUAGUAGGUGUAGUUCAUCUAGUAGUUUCCCUAAAUGUAUUCAUCUUUAAAGACAAACUUGUGUGCAAACUAGGAACUGAGAUUCAUGAAAUUACUUUUAGUGUGCAAUUUCUGUGAAAUGGCAUCCCAGAAAAGCUUAGUGUGCACACUGAUUUGAUAAGCUUCCAUCAAGAUUAAUAUGUCACAGAGUCAGGAUGCAAAUACUGGAGCUGUUUUAGCUCAUGUACUUGGGCAGAAACAACAGGCACAAAAUUAAUUAGUGUGGGAAAUGUCCUUUAAUAAUUAUCUUCCCAAGUACAAUGCAGCACUGGGUAAUAAAGAAAAUAGAAGAUGUUUUGUGCAUAAUCAUUGAAACCUUUACUAUUGGGAGGCCUCAGAACAUAAAGGUCAUUUAAAUCACAUGUAUGAAACUUACUUUUAGAUAGGAGUGUCUGUUCAUGACUUAGACCAUUGUGAACACUUAGUAAAUUGAGGCAUUAAAAGCAGAUUGUCAGUUUUAGAAAUACUAGCAUCCCUCAGUUAAGGAAAAAUAUGUAUAGAUUGAUGAAUUAUGAUGAAUAUACAGGUUUACACUGUGUUUCUUACUGAACUUCAUGAUAGUUUCAGUUCAUUUCUGUGUUUUUCUUACCCCUCCCAUGUAGUAAUGAAGAGAUGGAAAAACAAAGAUAAACCCAGACUGAAAGCAGUUUACUAUGAAAAGACAGCUGCAGUUUAAGCCACAUAUUUAGAGGAUGAACUGAAUGCAAAGGGGGAACCUCUCCUGAAGACUGGAGUGGCUUCAUUCAGCCUGGUCACUCAGCAAAAAAUGUAUUUCCUCAGAAAAGUGGAUAAAGUAUGUGUGCUGUAUCUUGGUCAUCAUUUGAAGUUAUACCUGAAAUGAUACAUCACACUGGAAACUACUAUAAUUGUGAGGUUAUUCAAGAGAAAAAACAUGGCAGGCGAAUGGAAUCUGUGAUUUUUAAAAAGUUCACUGAAAUUUACUAAGUUCUUGAGCAUGCCUGAGAAGUAGAAUAACGUAUUUAUUCUCUUGACAGUGUUCAGAGUUGAUUUAUUGUUAGAUUCUUGUUAGAUUUAUAUCAGUUCACCUAGUCCACUUAAAGGAUGAGCAAGACCUCUAGGAAAAUCUUCAUUAGCCCUGGGUAAUAUGAAAUGAUGACUGUGCUUCUCAUUUCAUAUUAGCAGUUAGCAGGAAGACUCGCUAUAAUUUGGCAUUCUGAAGUUAAUUACAUUUACUGUGCUGUCUGCACAGGCUAAUUUUGAAGGCUUAUAAGAUUAGGUGUGGGAGGAAGGGGAAAAAAAAUCUUUCAGAAUAUAUUGAAAUGGUUAUGUGUUUUGGAGACUUUUGUGCAUUAUAAAUACAGAAACUACUUGCCAGCUUUUGUUUUUUGCCAGUAGUAAUAGGUUUUUCAUACAUCCACAGCUGUUUAUUGUUUGAACAGCUGACAAAAACUCAUGCUUUCAGAGGUAAGGUGAGCUGGCUUCUGGGUAGAACAAAGACCUUUGUCAGAGUAGGAAAGACCUGCCCUCCCCACUCCCAGAACACAGAUGUAAAGGCAGCUGGCAGCAUGAGUGCAGGUCGGAAACAUAUCUGUAAACUUAAUUCCCCCAGCUGUGGUGUUACUGAAGUGCAAGGAUUUAUUUUUGUUUUACUAUCCUUAAGGAUUUUAAUAUUUAGCAAAUAAAACUGUAUGCUUUUGUAUGCUGCUUUUUGGAUUGUAUAAAAAGCUUUAAUGCACAGAGAAUAAUUAUUAAAAAGGAGGAAUGGACAUGCUUGCACACGUGGCGUGAUUUGUCUUGUGGUGAGGAAUGGGGGAGUCAUUGGGGUUAAACUAGAUUAAAUAAAUAAACCCUGUAGGUCCUACAGCCCUUGGGUUUCCCUGAAUUCAGCAUUAUGUGGGAGUGUUAUCGAAAUACUCAUUCAAAAUAAGCAACCCCUGAUGUUUGUAAACUGGUAUCUGAUGUGCUUGGUUUUGUAAUCUCCUUCCAUAGACAUGAUACUGCUUAUUUUGCAUAUGUGUUAUUACUUAGAUAACCUUAAAGGAAUGCUACUUGCCCCCUCAAUUAUUCUGAGUGCCUAAACCAUUACCACAAAGUCUUGAUCUAGCUGUGUGUGACUACUUUAGCUCCAGUGUUUUGUUUAUUCUGCCUUUUCACUCUGGCUCAGCAACAGUGUUUGGAGAGAACUUUAUUAGGGAGAAAUGCUUCUUCUGCUUUGAAGGGUAGCUGCCACAAAAUCAAGUCAGGAUCUUCAUGCACAAAGAAAAGGAAUUUGAAUGCAACAAGAAGGCUGCCCAAUUGCACUGUGCAGGAUAAAUGGCAUAUAGAAAGUGGUAUUUUCCACAGAUGGACCAAGGUAGUGUUGUACUUUGAACUUGUUUGUUUGCUAAAAGUAAAUUGCUUUUCCUUGGGGAACAAAAUGAAAAAGUCUUUAUCACAACCUUCAAAAUUUCUUGAAGAACAAAACAAAGUUUUUAUCACUGCCUUUGUAACUGGCAACCAGUUGUUUUUAUACUUCAGUUUAUAAACUGUUAUGAAUUUGCCAGUCUGAAAAAUAAUAGAAACUAGUUUCUUUUUUAAUUUGAAAGGCAUUUCUAACAUGCCAUGCUGCCACUUUUAAAAUAGGUGCUAAUGAAUGCUUUGGAAGUCUUCCUUGAAAAAAAAAAAUAAAUUAAUGUUUAGUUUAGUUUAAACUUAGCUGAGUUACGAUCUCAAAUAAAAUAACUGAUACUUAAUAUUAAACCAAAAAUUUUUGAAAAUCAAAUUCACUAAUUAAAAUAAACUAUUACACUGUAUUAAUUAAACUACAUUUUUUAUCUAGUUCCAUUUUGCCCCAGUUAUGAAGUCUUAAAAAUGUUAUGGUUCUCAGUUCUGUCUUGCAUAUAGAAGACACUGAGCUUAGUUACAGCAGACUUGAGUGUUUAGGUUGCUUUUUUUACAGAAGACAAGUGCAUCCACUGAAAAUAGAAAACAAUUUAAAACUGGUUACAACCACCAUUUUCAAAGCUUCUUAGACUGUUAUAAAAUCACUUCAUUUUGCAAUUAUUCAACUACAUUGCCUGUAAGGAGUGAAAGCUAGUAAGAAUUUAGGAUUCUUAAAGGGCAUAGUAAUGCAUUUUGAAAACUGUUUAGAACAGUUCACUGACAUGUACAGGGUUGUCAAAGCAAAGCAGGCUCAACACUAAAUGAUACAAUGAUUUCACUGUUCAAAAUGUUCUGUGUUAGUGAGAAAGCCAAGCUGACUUUUGACACAGGAAGAUAAUGGAUGACAAUCACUGAUUACCCCAGUAAGUCAAAAUGACACAUCUCUAAUUGUAGACUUAACACUCUUUUGUUUCCGUUUCUUUAAUCUUGCUUGUGGCAAAAAAUGUCAGCUUCUUAAGGCACUUUUUGGGUUAUGUAGAACAGAAUUUCUGGAAGUCAAUGAUCAUUUGGGAUUCUCUUUGGCUGCAUAUUGGUAUCAUGAUGUUCCCCUUCCUGCUUUUCUGACCCUCUCUCCAGAUUACUGGUUUGUACUGUGUUCAUCAUCUGCUGCAAAUAAAUAUUGGAUGAAGUUUCUUUUCCGUGACUUUCACUUAGAGUUUUUCAUAACUUGUGUAAUUUGAAAUCUUCAUUGUGUUCUUUUUGAGUUUGAUGCUUAGAUCUGUUCUUUUUUCUUACUGCAUUUUUUAUGGAUUGGUUUUGAAACUUUGUAAAGGGGGGAAUCUAUUAGUCUUGAAAUACAGUUCAUUCAGUGAAGAUCUGUAUGCAGUAAUGCUUACUAAAAGCUGCAGUUUGCUUUUGCAAUUUGAUUGGUCUCUGUAGAAAGACUGGGGCUUGGUUGUCCUGCGCUGUUGUCCAUGUUGUAUGUCACUGGACAUUGCUGCACUAACAUAGCUUUGGCUGCAUCUGCAGUUGAAGAACAUGAAACCUUGCAAUGUUGAGUCUUAAACUGAGUUUGCAAGAGUUCCAUGUGCUGUAAUGCAUAUACUACUAAUAUGGAACAUAAUGAAAGAUCAAGUGCUUGCAGAAUUUACAUCUAAUUUUCAAAAUGGUGAAGUCAGGUUUGUAGAGUAUUUUGUACCUAAGUUUGUACGCAAGCAUAUAGCUCAGCAGCAGUUAUGCAGCUAAUAACUUUGUGCAUGUUUGUAUUUGUUGGCACUAAAAUGUCUUUUAAAAAACACAAUACAGGUCAUCACUGAUUUCUUUCAAGAAAUUACUGUUCCAUGAAGAAUAAGAUUCUUAAAACAAAAACGCUACCCCUUUUCUUUUGAGCUUUUAGAUAUUUUGUCAUUAAACACUUGUCAUUGUGUUUGCUGGCACCUGAAUUUACAUUCUAGAAUUUUUUGACAGUUAUCAAUAGAGCUUAACACUAUUGUCUCCUUGGGUUGUAUUGUAGUGUGGAUUUUUUUCAUUUAUUUUUGUCUUUUUUCUCUCUUAAGUGAUUAGGUGAGAAUUGAAACUCUUUAGUCUAUUUUAAAUUUUUUUUUUGGCAGAGUUAAUCUAGGAAGAAAAAUAGUUCUGUCUCUGGGAUUUUGAACUCUCAAUCAAGGCUGAAGAAUAUUGACUGUAGCAUUCCAGGACUAGCCUGCUUAUGAAACUGUUGGGGCAAUAAAUGUAGGGUCUUAGAGAAAUCAGUAAUUUUAUCUGACUCCUUCCCAAGAUUUCUGUCUAGUUUAAAGACGUGGCAUACUGGUAAGGAAGAGGGUGAUGGUCACUAAGACAUAAUUUACUUCUGCUUAGGAGGAACUUCCUGUGUUUCCCAUAAUCUGGUCACUGGGCAUCACAGACAAGAGUGUAGCUCAAUUUUCUUUAUGCUCUCCAUUUAGGUACUUGUACAGAUUGAUGAGACCUCCCUGAGCCUUCUUGUCACCAGAGUGACCAGACCAAGCAGUCACAGCCUGUUUUUUACUUGAUGAGGUGCUUCAUAAAGUAAAAUCACCUUUGUGGCCCUGUGCUGGACUCACUUGAGUAGGUCCAUGUGUGUCUUGUAAUAGGGAACCCAGCCCUGGACACAGCACCUUCAGGUGUGGCCUCAGUAGUGCUAAGCAGAGGGGUCACAUUCCUUGACCAGCUGGUGACACUCCUCCUCUUGCAGCCCAGGAUACCACUAGCUGCCUUUGCUUCAAAUAACAAUCAGAAGAGAGCAUUUUAACUGGUUCUUGUUUCAGACCCUUAAACCCAAACAAAAGUGAAAUGAAAGCCCUUAAAAAUCAAUCAUAACUCUGCAAUUACCAGCCAGUGUAACUGGAACAGUUUCCUUCUUAACAGGAGUUAGUUUUCAAGCUUGAGGUUUUAACACCAGCACUAACACUGUUCUCUUAGUGGAUAGAGGUCAGACUUGAUGCUCCUUUAAUUUGUGAUGAGUUACAAAGUUAAUGAAUCAAUUGCAUAUUCUCUGUUAGCAUGUUUUCUCUCUACCAGUUAUAGUUGUUUCGAUGAUUUGCUUGGAUUUCUGCUUACUGGAACUUGGUUGCUUUAGUUCCCACAGAUAAGAAUCCUGAGGCAUGAGGGUACUUAUGUAAGUUUUACCUGGAUUGCCUCUUUUUCACACUUCUCUGGUUCCCUCAGAUUAUCUUGAGCAGACUGAAGUGUGGGUAAGGAGGAAUUGAGGCUAUUUCUUGGAGAAGUUUUGGCUAUUUUUUUUCUCCUCUAUGCAAUAAAAAAAUCAUGCUUUGCUUUUUAUUAUGUGCUUUUAAUAGAACAAGAAGAAAGCUCUAUAGUGGUUUACCUUCUGGUUUCAUUACUGGCCUCAGCUGAAAUGGAAACAGUGGUGGAGAAAGCUAUCUGUCAGGAUCUUGCCUUUUCUUUCCUUUCCUGAUCUCCCUUUCAUCAACAAAUACCAGGAUAGUUCUGACUAUUCCAGAAUGUAAAUCAAUGCUAUGAAGAAUCUCCUACAACUAUGUGUUAACUAAACUCAAAAAUGAUAGCUGCAAAAUGCAUGAGUGGCUACUUUCUAGCCAAAUGCUGAAAAAUGUUUCAGUGCAGAACAGAGAAUGCUGUGUAAGUAGUUUGCAAGUCUAUGAUUAUUUACCCUUAAUAAGUUUUAUUUUUUACAGUUUAUUACAGUUAGAGAAAAUGUCAAGAAAAAUAGUUGCAAAAUUACAUUUUAAAAGUGAAAUUAUUUAAGGUUUCCUUUCUUAACCACAGAUCUUUUCUUGAAAGUGGUCCAGAGGUGCUCUGUUUUCAGUCUGUGUGACUUCCAUGUACAGCAAGACUUGCAGCGUAAGCAAUUUCAUACAGGUGAAGGGAUAACUAAAUGCCAACUCUGCACUGACGACUUUUUCUGCUUUCAUAAUGAAAAGUUCAAUCUAGAAGCUUGUUUCCAAAUGGAGCAGCAGAUAGCUGAUCUGUGCUUCCUUCUGCUCUUUUCCUACUGUUUGAGAAGUAACUUAUGUUUACAGAAGAUAAAUAGUUCAAUAGAGUUUUAAAAAAAAUAAAAUGUUUUUUUUCCUAAAGUUUGGGUUUAGGGUGUGCUGUUGUUUCAGUUGUUCUUAUAAUAAAGUUUUGUUGUUCUGGUUUUUUGAUUAUGCUUGAGAAAUUCAGGUUGUGUUUCAGAAGUGCAUGGUUGGGAGUCCAGAAAGUAAGGAUAAAACAGAUACAGAUACCACCUUGCAGUCAAAGUUUUAGUCCAUGCUCUCAGAAGAAAAUCUGAAGUACAGUAAUGAUAGAGCAUCACAGAUGUUUGGACGUAAUUCCUCCUAAAUAAAACAAAAAGAAGGAAGCUACAAUUUCUUCUGGAAGUAAGGAAGCAGUGGACUUAGAACUCCAGUUUAUGUGGCUGCACCUGUCUCAGAAUUCUAAUAUAUGCAAAUCCUUAUAUUUUUAAAGUGGUCUUCCUUUAGGGGAACUUAGGCUUUAUUUUCUGCUCUCUCCACCAGCAGUGAAGAUCCUGUUACAUCUUUGAAUGUUCAGUGGAAAGCCUCAAUCAUGUUAUGCCAUUACCUCUGGAUGUGUAAGGAUGAAGUUGUAGCCACAACCUAAUUGUCAAAUACUUGCUACUUGUUGGCAGUAUUUGUUACAUCACCUGAACUGACUUGGAAUCCCUGAAGUGUAGCUUUCAUGCAUACUCUAGAAGGUAUAUUGAACAAAUAGUGAUAAACUUUAAGGAAAAGAUCAUGCUAGAGGUGGCAUGGCUGACUCUAAGUGCUUUAGAAUACACUGCAGAACUAUUUCUAAUAGAAAUUUCUAAUAUACUAAUAGAAAUAGAUGUUGUGUUGAGCUUGAAUGUAAUACAAAGAAUUCAUGGUAUUUAAAGAUAAGUUCAUAUAUUGUAUAAUGAAUUACUGAAGAUGUGAGACUAGAUAAAAAUGUUAAAUGCUUGGUAUGAUGCCACACAGGAAAGUAUCUCAAGUACAGCAGAAGACUCAUGAAUUAUUACAUUAGUGACAAGUAAGCUUUGUUCAUUCAUGUUCCCUUCACACUGUCAACAUGUUCAACAAAGUAUUUAUUUCACAAAUCUAUUGAUACAAAUUUUUGCCCUGCAUCUUCCUUAAAAUUACUUUAAUCAGUCUUCAAAAUUGUUAGAAAAUAUCUGAGUACAAGGCAGCUAGAGCAAAUUAGAUUCUUUCAAGUAAUAAUAGAUAAAAGAGAGUUUGGAGUUCUACAAAUCCACGCUGAAAUUAAAUAGUAAUGGAUUUCAAGGAUUGGAGAGCAUCUUAAUGGGUUUGUAUUUAAACACCCAGCCAAAUGAGAUAUAUGGAUAUUUUCAGUCCAAAAGACGAAGUUAUAUAGGUCUAAGAAACUUGGUUUGACAGGGCUAUUUGUGCAACCGUGUCUGUAGUGUUUUUGUUUUGGUUUGGUUUCUUCUUUUUUCCCCACUGAGGAAAUUACCAACUAAUAAAUCAAUCUUGCCUGCUUCUGUUCUAGUCCUGUGCCUCUACAGGACACUAUCUUUGUCACUAGAGAAUAGUAUAAGUGAAGCAAUAUUGGAGUGUUUCUUACUUACAGGUUGUCUUUAGAAGUUCUGUACACUUUAUACAGUUCUGUGUAUAAAGAUCUGUUUUGUCAAGGUGACAGAAGGGUAUCAUCAUCAAAAGAUGUAAGAAGGCAAAUCAGUCUGUUGCUCUGGCUGUACAUGCUUCAGGUCAUUUUCUCUUAAGUAAGAGUGGCAGGAUGGGCUAACUUCUUGCUUUUUCCUAAAAUUUUUGGAAGACAGUAUAUAGUUUGGUGAGGUUCAAGCUUUGUUGAGGAGUUUUGUUUCUGUUCAGCCAGAACAGAGUCCCUGUCUUUACUUCAGUGCCCUUAGGUUAAGAAGUUGUUAUUUCGUCCAUGUCUCAUGAGGCAGCUAGGAUGAAGACUUAUAUCUUUCCCAAUUCUCUCAUUCUGUGCCAGGCAGUGAAACAGCAGGAGAAACUGGUUUGUGUACAACAGUAGAUUCUACCUAGACGAUUUCAUUUGACAGGGAGGUGACACUCCUCUUCUAGCCAACAUUCUCCUGAAGAGAGAAGAUAAAAUAAGAGAACUAUUUUCCACCUUAGAAGUGGAAAGAUCUUAGAAGAAGAUAUUACUGCAGCCAAAUAUGUCAUUGUCACUGCAACCAAAUCUGUCACAACGGUUAGUUAAAUGUUUUGGUUUCACCUGUAAGCCAUUUAUGUCUUCACUUUCUACAAUACUUAGUGAACUUGUCCCUUCAAUCUCAUGCUUGGCACAUGAGACAUGGAGUGGAUUCUCAGUAGGAAUUUUGGCAUAGCUUUGGCUAAUUUGUUAAAAUUUAUGCCCUUACAUACUGACUUAAGUAUGAUACUAGAUAAAUUUGAGGUUGCUACCACCUCGUAAUAAGACUGGAAAGGCUGCUCUUUGAAAAAUACUUCUAAAAAGUUGCGUUCUCUGAAGUAACAGCAGUGAAGGUUUGAAGUAGAGACUUUUGAUUAUAACAUAAUCCAUGAGAAAUAUGGUAGUUUAGGAACAGCAAGAAGCAAAUUCUUUGUAAAUGUUUCAUAUUUCAUUAUUGCUAAAUCCUUUGUGUUAAAAUGUAGGAUACUUUUCUCCAAGGAAGAUGGGUCUUGUGAGAAAACAGACACUGUUUGGGAACUAUUUUUUUCCCUAAAGAACUUUGGAGAAGGUGACUUACACAAGGGUGGGUUGGGUUCUACAUCUCAAUUUUGCAUGUCCAGUUUCUGAUGUUUCGUUUGUUGGGAAGCUUCAAGAGGCUUCCCAAGAGUUGCUGUUUUGAGGUUGGGUGGCUGCUAGUGUGCUUUGAACUUCAUUGUCCCAGUAGGACUGCCCCUUAACAGAAGCAGUCUGGAUCAAACUCCCUGAGACCUCAGUACUGUUGUCAUUAGCUUUGAUGGUCUUUUCUGUUUUUAACAUCCUAUCCUUAAUUUGGGAUAAAAUCCUUUAGUGUGCCACAAUACUAAUGACCCUUCUUCUCCACACAGCAUUCUGUAAAUGGAAAUGAAAUUCAAUGCUUGGUUGUUAACUGGACAUUAUUACUGUAGGUGGUAGUGUUGCUGUGAUGACAUUCUGCAAGUUUUGGAUUUUACUAGUGUCUCUUUUUUUUCUAUAAUGGCAGCUUUUCUUGGAUAGUAAAUGUGUUACCCAUAUUUUUGACAUUUGUUGGAUGGGAUUUGAGUCACUCACUAAUGCCUCCUAAUUUUGCCAUAUGAAAGUUACCCUUCAGUGUUUCAAUGCACUUGAAUCAUUGUUUAUUUAUUUUAUUUUAUGUUUUGUCUCAGUAAUACCAUUGUUUCCAAAGUUAGCUUUUCUAUGUUGGUGCAAGGCAAGAAUGUUUCAAACUUUCUUUGGAGCAUUGAAAUGUUAUUAAGAAGGAUUAAUUGUUCAGAAGUGUCUUUUUGAACAGGUAGUGAUCUAGCAGCUUAUGAACUGUGUUUAUUUUAAGUAUCUGAAUUUUUUUUUUUGUAUAGCGAUUUCUGUUAUUCAAUACACAGCUUUAGGAUUGUGCUGCUGGAGCAUAAUAUACUGUCUUUGUAUUUUUGCAUUUUUUUUAACCCUGUGAUGAUGACACUCUUUCAGUUGCAAGAGUUACCAUUCUAAGUAGCUAAAUAUGCUUCCUUAUAGGAUAUCGGUCUUUAUCAUGAACACUGUAUUCUGGGCAGAAAGUACAAUGAAGUUUUGAGUUUGAACUAGCACAGCAUUUUUUAAGGGACAGAAGAUAGCACAAUAAACUCCAGCAGGUUGCAUAAGUGGGGUUUAUAUCUCUUGCGGGUGCUUGACAUUUGAAGAAGACACGUCUAACUCUUGUUAGAUAUUUACAAAACUGUUCUGAAAGAGAGUAACUAGCAGUGUGUACCCUGAACCAUGUCCUAAUGAAAUGCAGAGGCGGAAACUUGGUGUUUUUCACUUGAAAUUGUAGGGAGUAGAGUUGUGCGUUCAGAACAUCUGUAGGUUGUGGAAGUGUUCCUGAUCAGUACCUGGUGGUGUCUCCUAGCUGAGGGUAGUCAUAGGAGUAAAAACUGUUCUGGGAAAGGUGUUCUUGUGUCAUGUGGGUAAUUUAACUGACAUGUAGGUUCUGAGCUUUUUGCUUGGAAAUGCAGUAGGGAGAGAAUGAAUGUUAAUGGGAUGUGUGUUUUCACUGACUUGAACAGAAGCUAUUGCAUUUUUAGUUUAGCCAAUUUUAUUUUGAAAUGUACAUUUUAUACUAGUGUAAACCUGUUAAAAUGGCCAAGAUAUGGUAAAUGUUUGCAAGUACAUUUUACCAUGGGCUGUGGAACUCUGUAUAUGUUUUGUGAUUCUGACUGGUUUCACUUAAGUUUUUUUCAAUGUCAGUAGAAGCUGGAGUUGCUCUCAGCUGCUUUCUUAUGUCUUUGGCUAUUCCUUUUCUUAUGCAGAAGUGGUUUGGUUUGGGUUUUCUUAAUGUAUGUCCUGGCGUGGUGAUGUGGAUCAAGGAAUAUAACUAGUGAAACAUGGUAAAGUUUUUAUCUUUUUUUUUUUAUUUGGGUGGGGUUUUUUUCCCCCUCCUGGCUGGGUCCAUUCAUUGGUCAGAUAAAUGACCAUGUAAAAACCACGGAGAAGAGUUUUGGUAAAACUUGAUGAGACAGAAGAGGAACAAAAGUAAGCGUCAGUGGCUGGUACCAUCUUCUGCCUUUUCCCUAACACUGAAAGUAAUGCACAAGGUCACAUCUGCAGGUAUGUUAGCCUGAGGUGCUAUGGAUUUCCCAAUCCUAAUCCUAAACCAUUAAUAAAACAUUUUAUUACCUUAUUUCUUCUAACCUGUGCUUAUGCUAAAUGUUUUUCUAAGGAGAAGUGGGGCGUCCCCUCUUUGUGUCUGGCUUACCCAGUUUCUCCUAGCUGGCUCUUAAAUUACAUUAGGCCUUGCUGGGGAAGCUUUUCUGAAAGACAAGAUGGAAGGAGGAAAAACUAACCAUCUCCUGCCACCCAAAACUAAAAGGAAGAACAGAAAUACCUGACAAGUGUCCCUUUCCUUCAGGUGAUUCCUUCAGAGAUUUGAUUUAGCUGACGUAGUUCUGCAUGUAAAAAAGACCACGUAAAAGCUUUAGUGGACAAGCUUCUUCCUACUCCCAUCUUUUGCUGAUAGGAAAAAAAAAAAAAGAAUGUAUGCUGCUUUGCUUUCUGAAAUAUAUUCAAGUUGGCUGGAAAAUGUUCCCUCUGCAGUGUCCAUCACUCUGUGUCAGAGUUCAUGAAAUAAGCUGAUGCUUAAAGCUUUGAUACGCCACAAUGCAAGCUGGUAGCACUUGAUUGUUUGUGUACUUGACUAUCCAUUGCAGGAUACCUGUAGGAAGGAGAGAAAUUAAGUUUUUUUUCAAAUUCCCUUUUUUAGAUCACUUAUGAAUGAAAAUUGGUUUUGUAGAUAUGAUCAAGAAGGAGAUAUUUUGAAAGGGCAGAGUUCACAGGAGAAAACAUGUCUUAGUCUGCAAAAAAGAAAUGCAAGACUUCACUUCGUCAUUAAAUAGAACUCAGAGUUGCCAGCUUUAAAAAGGGUGCAGUUUAGUACUGGAGUUUGGACUUUAAAAAUAUUAGCAAUAUAUAAAAUAUAGGUAUAUAUAGUGAUUUAUAUUUAUAAAUACAUAUAUAUAUAUGAAUAUAAUGAUUUAUAUUUAAUGGCAAUAAAAAUAGAAGCUAUUUUUUGAUUAUAAGAACUGCUUUAGUAUUUCUCUUUGGAGAUGAGAAUGAAGCUCCUAAAUUGAUAGUUUUAGUGAUUGUAACUAUUUGAUCUUUAAGGUAAAUUGUCCUUUUGCUUCCCUUCACUUCCUUUUUCAUGUGUUGGGUUUUUUAGCUCUGGAUUUCCUUUUCUAUUAGAAGCUUUUUAUAAUCAUCUGUUUUAAAAGAAUAAUUUAUUUGGAGUUAAGUCAUCAUCUUUGGCUUGAUAGUAGAGGAAAUGUCAGUAGAUGAUUAAAGGGUUUUUUCAGUGCUUGAGUACACUGUCACUCCAGUAUUUCCCUUUCAUUUCUGCCAUUAGCCAUCUGUACUGUAGUCUAUAGUAUUUAUUAUUUUGUCCAUUUUGUGCAAGAUCCUGUGUAAACUCAAUCAGUCCUAGCUCUGAAAAGUACAUUCUUAAAUUAGGAUGCAAAAAGGUGCAGCAAAAAAAAAAAAAAAAAAAAA